AAACUUCAAUGAGAAUGUCCAGUCUGGCAACGACCUCACUCUCAACCUAAAAUAAAAAUUCAUCUAGAGGAGUGGGACGAAUGUUUGUUUAAACAUAUGCUUGACCAGAAUAGAGAUGAGGGUUUCUAUUUGGGACUACAAUGACCUAAAUAUAUUACUUAAAUUAUCUAACUAAAUCAUCAUAUUCCUCAGGGUUAAUGAGAGGUUUAGGUUUGAAUUGUAUCUCAGAAUCAGAAGAAAUCGAAAUCAUUUAGUCAAAAG
rnacentral:lncRNA from 1 species